rnacentral:rRNA from 1 species
UCGAGAGGCUUUGUCAAUGGGGGAAACCCUGAACAAGCGACGCCGCGUGGAGGAUGAAGGCCCUUGGGUUGUAAACUCCUUUUGUCGGGGAAGAAACACGAUCAGGUGAACAACCUGGUCGCUUGACGGUACCCGGCGAAUAAGCUCCGGCUAACUCCGUGCCAGCAGCCGCGGUAACACGGGGGGAGCAAGCGUUGUUCGGAAUCACUGGGCGUAAAGGGCGUGUAGGCGGUUUGGUAAGUGGAAUGUGAAAUCCCCCGGCUUACCCGGGGACCUGCAUCCCAUACUGCCAAGCUUGAGUACGGGAGAGGAUGAGGGAAUUCCUGGUGUAGCGGUGAAAUGCGUAGAUAUCAGGAGGAACACCGGUGGCGAAAGCGCUCAUCUGGCCCGAUACUGACGCUGAUGCGCGAAAGCUAGGGGAGCAAACGGGAUUAGAUACCCCUGUAGUCC